UUUUUCUGGGUGGUUUUUAUCAACUCCUGCCCAAGGCCGUGCAAAAGGACGGCAUCUAAGGGACCUCCGGCCUGGAACCCAACCCUUCCCCAUCAAAGCAGUUCCCAGCAGAGACAAUGCCAUUUGCGUGAACCAUUUCUGACAGAGGCCGCCCGUGUGGCUUGAAAGCUGUAAGCGUCCGGCCGCGAUUCAUGAGUGGCUUUGAUCACUGGGGCCCCGAAGUGCUUCCCGCUUGGCUGCGGCACUGCCCCGCCAUCGUUUUCCCGCGGCAGGUCCACCGUCUGUGCGUCAAUCACGACCCCCCUCUGCUCACUUUGAAAAGUUUCCUUUAUCUCGCUAGAAGCCUCUGGUUUCCUGGGAGCGGUCCACCUCUGAGAUGCUCUGCUGUUUUCGAGAUUGUUUGUUGUGUGUGUGUCCCUGGGAAGCUCGGUUCCAGGAGGAGGAGGUCAGAGGAUUGGAGGGGAUUUGACCGCUUUGCGGAUGGCCGUGGGAGCUGUCUGAGGUGCAGCAUCCGGGGGCCUGGGGGCCUGGCACCAGAGCUCAGCGCUCAGCGGCUGGUGCGGGUUUGGGGAGGGCACGCGGGCGGGUGGAAGGAACCCAGGCUGGCGUUCUGCAGGCAGGAUCUGAUGGACACACAAGGGAGCUGAGUUUGGCUGGGAAGGAAGCUGAGGGUCCGCUGGACAUAGGCUGGUUGAGCCGGGAACGAAGACGGAGACCAAAGGAGGGAGCGGGUCCAGGAGCCCUACAGGGCUGAGGGGUAGCAGGACCUGGAGAGAAGGGCAGGAGAGGAGGGGAGAGCAGAGGGGAGGUUUGUCACCACCAAGAGGAUCCAGCCCAGCCCAAGUCUGGAUGAGGCCCCUGGACGGGUGACUGGGAGAGGGGGUUACCAGGCUGGGGGUGCUGGGGUUGAGACUGUGAUGGCACCCUCUCUGCUCCCCAGGAGACCAGGGAUCAAAGGCGGGUCUGGGAGCUUUAAACACCCGAGGGGGGGUCUCGGUUUAGGGGAGCUGACAACUAAGUCCUCGGGGAGAGUGUGAGUGUGCACCUGAGAGGCGGGGCGCACCCUGGCUGGGGGACAGUCUACUCUUUGCACACAGCCGAGGAUGUCACCGUGGACAGGGCUCACCGUGGCAAACUGGGGGCACGGUGCCUGUCACAACAGAGGCUCCAGCCUGAUGCCCAGAGGCGUGACAGGCACCGUGGUGAUAGCUGAGCCAGGUGACCCCAGAGGAAGCUGCCAGCCCAGGCCUGGCCAGCUGCGUGCUGUGACGGCCGUGUGCCCCACGUGGAGAGGCGGCCAGAGUGAUAGCCUUGCUGCUGACUCACAGGCAGUCUGGCUCAGCCCCCUCCCCCCACCUCUGCCCUCCGCCUCCCAGCUCAUCUGGGACCCCCCAGCUCAUGCCUUAGGGCGUGAAGUCCACGCUUUGGGCUGCGUGCAGCAGACCGCGUCCAGACGGUGACGGGAGACAGGCUGGCACUGCGCGGACGUCGGCCAGAGGCCACACAAAGGACUGAUUGCAGGCUCAGCCAGAAGGCAGCUGUCCACAAGCCAGGGAGAGAGGCUUACAGUCACCAGCCCCGAUGGCACCUCAGUCCGCCUUGCAGGCUCCAGAACUCCGAGAGGGCAAAUGUCUGUGCAUGAGCACCCUGGCCAAUGGCAGUCCCAGCUGAGACUGUGAAAGUCCACCCACAGCUUACAUUGUCCCCUGUCCUGCAGCCAAGGGACCUCAGACUGGUUUUGUUUGUUUGGGGCUCUCUUGGCAGCUUCCAUAGAAGCAAGGUGCUCCUUUCCUGGGAUGCUCUGGCUUGACAGCUGUCCGAGGCGGCCCCCAGGGUGGGGACGAGCCAGGCAAGGUAGCUGUGAGCCCAGAGGCCCUGCAUACGCCCUGCUGAGCAGUUCAGUUCCUCCGGUGUCCGCCUGCGGGAAGAUGUUGGUUUUCGCUGCACCUGCCAUCUGGACUCUUUGCCGUUCAGAAAACCGUGUGUUGGCAAACAGAAACUGCAAGGACGCACGGUCCCUCGGAGUCCGUGGUGUGGUCCAGGGGAGAGGGGACUUGUUCUCUUCAUGCGGUUCCACUUAACAAAUAUUCAUGGGUGCCUGUCAGGUGCCCAGGUCUUACUCCAGAUGCUGGAGAGAAGCAGGUAAACCAGUCAGAGAACAUCUGUGCCCACGUAGCUUCUGUUUUAGUCGGGAGAGGGUGCAGAAAAUGAACACCUACAAAAAUACCUGGGGGUGAUACAUAUUCCGAGGAAGACAAAAUGGGGUGUUGUGAUGGUAGGGGUAGAAGAGGUCAGGGAGGCCUCUCAGAAGAGGGAGGCAGGAGCCGAGAUCAGAACGUCAAGAUUGAAGCAGCCAGGUGAGGAUCUGGAGAGGGCAGGCCAGGCAGAGGGAGAGCAGUGCUAAGGUCCUGGGGUAGGAAUGAGCUUGGUGUGUCGGAGGAACCCGGGGAGGGGGAAGUGAGGGAAGAGGGGGAGCAUUAGGUCAAGUGGGAGCCAGGGGUCCCCCGUGGGUUGGCUGAGGAGUUUGGAGGCUCAGGACAGCAGGAAGCCACGAGCAGGCUCAGGCGGGACGGGCGGAUGACAUUUUCAGAGGCUCCUUGGGGCUGCUAUGAGGGGGGAGCUCAGAGGGCAAAAACGGAAGUCCCAAGCCCAUCCUUCUCCUCAGCCCCUGCUCCCUGUCUGGUCCCGGCUGCAGCAUCUCACUGGGCUUCUCUCCCUCACCCUUUCUGCAGCCUCCUACCUGGUCUCCUUGCUUCCACUCUUGCCUCUCUAGGGACUGGCUCUAACGGGGCAGCCAGAUGCCCCCAUUCACUCCUCAUCUCGAACCCCCCAGAGGCUUCCGCCCCACCUGCAGAAAAGCCAGAGUCCCCACGGGGGCCUGCGGGACCACACGACCUCUUCUCCCUACUCCCCUACCCAACCAUCUCCCGAGGUCACCACCCAGACUUCCUUCAGGCCUCUUCCCCACACCCAGCCCUUUCCACCCUCCCUUUCCUCCUGGCCCUUGUAGCCAUGGCUCCCGUGGCUGUGUCUCUACUCCCGGGUUAGGGCACAGGUCAGGGGCUUCUGUUUGGUGCCCUGCCACCUCCCAGUAUGUAGACCAGCCCUCAGCCCCCCGUGAGGGCUCAGUCAGCACCUGUGUGCUGUUGUCAAAGUCCUGACUUGGAAGGCAAAGGGGGGCUUGUUCCAAGGAGGUCCUUGUGCACGGGGAAGGAUCCGGAUGGACUUGAAGACAGACCACAGGGCUUGCUGUCCUCUUGGGGGUGAGUGUCGCCAAGGGACCAACAUUCUUGCAGGGCUUUGCUUGAGCCGCUGAGGCCAUGGUGCAUGGAGGCACGGUGUGCAUGUAAGGGAGAUGGGGAGGGAGCCCAUGGGGCAGACAGGGGUCCAGGGUUCUGCCCGGCCCGGAGAGGUUUGAAACCUCACUAUCCGCAUCAAGUUGCUGUGGAAGGAGGCAGCUGGUUGGAACUCUGAGGCUCAGGAGGGCCAUUAAGGCCAGAGGUAACAGCUGCAGGUCAGUGGCCCAGAUGUGUUAUUUGGAUCAGGGCCCAGUGAGAUCCCAAGGAAAGAUCAGGGAUGCCAAGGUCAAGCCAGGGAGGGCAGGUCCACACAUGUGCCUGGGGCAUGUCAGCAUUUCAGGCAAACGAAAAGGUCCUCACCGGUUACGCACGUCUUUGUCCUCUGCCCUGGGGCCUGCCUUUUCAGGCGAGCUACCCGGGUCCGCUCCGCAGCAUGUGUCCUGGGAAUGACUGUGAGAUAAAGUGGGGAACAGUGUGUGAGGGGGGCGCUCCAGCCCCCUGGGGACAGGAUGAGUGAAUGGCAUUGCCCACACUGCACUGGGUCAAGGACCCCAGCGACACAUGCCCUGGUCAUACUGUCCUCUCUCACACCUGGCCAGGGGUGGCUGGACUUCAAAGUCACCUUCCGAAGACUGCAUUGACAAACUGCAUUAACAAACUGGGGCUUCGAGGCCGUUCGUCGCUCCUGGGUCUCUUCAGUGAGAUCUCCCUGUUCUGAAACACGCCAAAGACUUCCGCUGUCCCACAAGUCCUGCACAGUGCCAGCCGCGGACUCCCCAAAGGUGAGGCCAGGAGGGCUGCAAGCCGGUUUCCUAGGAAACGUUAAAUCAGCCCCUUCCUCCCUCCAAAUCCCACUCUUUCAAUUUUCUUCUGGUGGACUGGUAUUUUCGCUGUGAUUCCGUCCCAGGCCUUCUGACCUAAUUCCAAUUUACUUGUCGGAGUUUCUUAUUUCCUCUCGACACUGACUCUGAUACACGAGGCUGUUUUAUCACUGGGUGGUUUUAAUUUUCAUACAGAGACUUGUGGUUUCCCAUUUUCUGUGUUUCCUUUGAGUUUCAGCCAACAGGAGCAUAAUGCCUAUGAAAGGCACACAGAUUCCAUGGGCUGUUUGUUGAAUUAUUCAAAGUGCUCCUUUAUUAUUCCCUUUGUGUCAGUCUAUGUGGCUUCUUACCAGAGGCAUGACUUACAUGGUAGGCUACUGUGUGUCCAGUAUGGAUGAUCUUGAGGGGACAAGCAGAGGGAAUGCAGCUUUGCCCCAGGAGAAGGUUGCUAUCAGCACAGCCAGAGAACAUUCACAGGAUCCAAGAUGGCAGAUGCAAACCCCCUGGCCCAGUAGGUCAGUGGGAUGCUGUGAAGGAUGACUCUUAGCCAGAGCAGAAGUAGAAGCAAGCUCAUGGGAUGGGAAAUUCUUGGUAUUGUUGGAUUUUGGAUUGGUUCAUUCAU